rnacentral:rRNA from 1 species
AUUGAACGCUGGCGGCAGGCCUAACACAUGCAAGUCGAAAGAGUGGCGGACGGGUGAGUAAUGUCUGGGAAACUGCCCGAUGGAGGGGGAUAACUACUGGAAAAGGUAGCUAAUACCGCAUACACUCGGAUGUGCCCAGAUGGGAUUAGCUAGUAGGUGGGGUAACGGCUCACCCAGGGGACGGUCCCUCGCUGGUCUGAAGGGAUGACCAGCCUCACUGGAACUUGGACACGGUCCAGACUCCUACGAGAGGCAGCAGUGGGGAAUAUUGCACAAUGGGCGCAAGCCUGAUGCAGCCAUGCCGCGUGUAUGAAGAAGGCCUUCGGGUUGUAAAGUACUUUCAGCGAGGAGGCGUUACUCGCAGAAGAAGCACCGGCUAACUCCGUGCCAGCAGCCGCGGUAAUAC